rnacentral:SRP_RNA from 10 species
ACCAAUGCAAUAGUCAGUAGUCCUGGUGACUCAGGAGGCUGAGGUGAGAAGAUCACUUGAGUCCAGGAGUUCUGGGCUGUAGUGAGCUAUGCUGAUUGGGUGUCCACACUAAGUUCAGCAUCAAUAUGGUGACCUCCCAGGAGCAGGGAACCACCAGGUUGACUAAGGAGGAGUGAUCCAGCCCAGGUCAGAAAUGGAGCAGGUCAAAACUCCUGUGCUGAUCAGCAGUGGGAUCUCACCUGUGAAUAGCCACUGCACUACAGCCUGGGCAACAUAACAAUACUCUGUCU